CGGCAGGUAGCUAGCGGUGGGGAGGGGUGGGUAGAGGGGGCUCGAUGCGAUGCGGGUUGGAUGGAGGCGGCAGGUAGCUAGCGGUGGGGAGGGGUGGGUAGAGGGGACUCGAUGCGAUGCGGGGGUGGGUAGAGGGGGCUCGAUGCGAUGCGGGUUGGAUGGAGGCGGCAGGUAGCUAGCGGUGGG